GGCGUGGUUACCCAGCCACCGGUAAGGUAGUCAACAGUAAAGCACUUGCUCAAGAUGUUACCAGUGUGAAAAGCUGCAGAAAUGAAAUUUAGCUUUAAACCUCAGACCUCAUUCUACACGCCAGCUAAAAAUUUUCAGGGGGACGAAUCUGGUAACCAAAUAUGGAAAACAAGAUUGAUGUGAAAUACUGCCACAUAGACGAUGAGGAUAGAGAAGAAUUGGGUUGUUUUGGAUAUUGCUUCAAUAUAUACAAGAGCAUCAUUUAUUACUUACUGGGGUGCUGCACAGGAGGAUUCAUUUUUCUUGUUGCCUACUGGCGUCCAGACUGGGCUCUCAAGUUCAAAUGUUCUCCAUGUCCUUUAAAGAAGGCUACUCAUGUGCUCUUAAAGACCUGUUAUGGAGCUUGGUUUGUCGAGGAAGUCCAUACUAUCAUGAUUGACAAAGAAAGGUCACAUUCAAACUCUAGUACUGUAGAGUUUCAUGGUGGCAAUUGCAGUCAUUAUGAUGAAACUGAGACUCUUCUCAGUGAGGGAGAUUCAGGAGGCUUGAUAUCACAAAGAAAAUACUUUUGUUACAAAUACCUCCGAUAUGUAUGGGAUGAAGACCAUGGAAGGUUUCACCUUCUGAGGGGCCUUGAUGGUGGAUCUCAUCCCAGAUUAUUCUUCCAAUGUUUGUCUGGAUUAUCAUCAGAUGAAGUUCAACUCAGACAGAAAAUCUAUGGCCCAAAUGUUAUUGAUGUUACUGUGAAGUCAUAUGGGAGGCUUUUCCUUGAAGAGGUUGCAGAUCCCUUCUAUGUGUUCCAGUUUUGCAGCAUUGUUUUAUGGUCAACCGAUGAUUACUACUACUAUGCUCUUGCUAUUUUGAUAGUCACAAUGGUUUCAAUAACAAUCACAGUAUACCAAACAAAAAUGCAUCUACAGAGAUUGCGAAGCAUGGUGGCGGUGUCAGAGAGAGUCACUGUACUGCGAAAUAAUGCAGAUGAAAUGGAUGUAUUAUCUGAGGAACUUGUUCCUGGUGAUGUGCUUGUUAUUCCACCUAAUGGAGCACAAGUUCACUGUGAUUCUGUCCUUAUCAGUGGUAACUGUAUAGUCAACGAGAGCAUGUUAACAGGUGAAAGCGUCCCAGUCACAAAGAUUCCAUUGCCUUAUAUAAAGGGAUUAUCAAAUAGUCCUUUGGAACAGAGAGAAGAACAGUAUAACCCAGAGCGGCACAAGAGACACACUCUCUUUAAUGGUACUAAUGUCAUACAAACCCGUUAUUAUGGAAAUGCGAGAGUGCUAGCAGUUGUUGUUAGAACAGGAUUUUCCACAACCAAGGGUGGCUUAAUGCGUUCCAUUCUUAGUCCAAAACCAGUUGGCUUCAAGUUCUUCCGUGAUUCUAUGCGUUUUAUUGGCCUUAUGACAAUUCUUGCAAUGGUGGGAUUCUCUUACAGUAUGUACACCUUGGUGCUGAAUGGGAUGUCUGUUGGAAAAAUUGUGCUGAAAUCUCUAGACGUCAUCACAAUUGCUGUUCCACCUGCUUUACCUGCAGCAAUGUCGGUGGGGAUUGUCUAUGCACUUCAGAGGUUAAAGAAAAAACAGAUCUACUGUAUCAAUCCAUCAAGAAUCAGUGUAUGUGGAAAACUCAAGCUGUUCUGUUUUGAUAAGGUGAGGUGGCAAAGGAAGAAUAAGACUGGAACAUUAACAGAAGAUGGUUUGAAUCUACUGGGAGUAUUGCCAGUGCAUUCUGCAGGAUUUGGUAGAGUGGCUCCAGGUGCAAAAAAUAUUCCGCAAGGGCCGAUAUUAGCUGCGAUGGCAACUUGUCAUUCUUUGACAAUGAUUGAUGGCAGAUUGAGUGGUGAUCCUCUGGAUCUGAAGAUGUUUGAAGCAACUGACUGGAUUCUCGAGGAGCCAGGAGAAGACAAUACAAAGUUUGACAAUAUAGUUCCCACAAUUGUUAAACCCAAAACUGCUGAAGAGUUCAUUGUUGAGUAUGCUUUGAAAGGGCAUACUCCUUAUGAAAUAGCUGUCGUUCGACAGUUUCCAUUUUCUUCAGAUCUGCAGCGUAUGAGUGUUGUGUGUCGUACGCUUGGUGCCCCCAAUAUGGAUGUUUAUGUGAAAGGUGCUCCAGAGACGAUUACAACUCUGUGCCAACCACAAACAGUUCCAGGAGAUUUCACUAAUAUACUGCAGCAUUAUACCAUGAAAGGUUACAGAGUGUUGGGUUUGGCAUGGAAACCAUUGGAUUCUAAACUGUCAUGGCAUCAGGUCCAAAGAGUUACACGGGAUCGAAUCGAGUCAGACUUGUUACUUCUGGGACUUUUGAUUUUUCAAAACGCAUUGAAACCCCAAAGUUAUCCUGUGAUACGAGCGCUUCAAAAUGCUGAUAUUAGAACUGUAAUGGUGACAGGUGAUAACAUGUUAACGGCUGUGAGCGUGGCUAGAGACUGUGGAAUGAUUGCACCGUCACACCAGGUUAUUGAACUAAGUGCCAAGCUAAGUGAGGACCACUCCCACGAACUUCAUGUCAAGUGGUGUGUUGUUGGAGCUGUUCAAAGUGGCAGCCAUGACUAUGAAUCUGAGUAUAAUAACGCAGAUCGUGGAAGACGAUGCUUUCACGUGGCAGUUUCAGGGAAAACGUUUGCCCUCAUUAGAAUUCACAAGCCUCAGCUAUUUAAUAAGGUGCUCGUAUCAGGAACUGUAUUUGCACGAAUGUCGCCUGACCAGAAGACGCAUCUAAUUCAAGGGUUGCAGAAUCUCAAUUACUGUGUUGGGAUGUGUGGAGAUGGAGCUAACGAUUGUGGGGCUCUCAAGGUGGCACAUGCGGGAAUUUCAUUGUCAGAAGCAGAGGCCUCUGUUGCCUCUCCAUUUACCUCAAAGAUACCACAUAUUGAAUGUGUGCCUGCUGUUGUAAGGGAAGGCAGAGCAGCUCUGGUAACAUCAUUUGGAAUUUUUAAGUACAUGGCGCUUUACAGCAUCGUGCAGUUUGUUUCUGUUCUUUUACUUUAUUCGAUUUCUUCUAACCUUGGUGACUGGCAGUAUUUGUACAUUGAUUUAGUCGUUAUUACAAGUCUGGCUGUCGUCAUGGGUAAGACACAGGCGUAUCCAGUUUUGGUGGCUAAGAGACCUGGUGGAAGUCUUAUGUCUCCCAUCGUUCUUUUUUCACUGAUAUCCCAUAUUGCUGUCCAAACCAUCGUGCAGGUUGCUGGAUUUUAUUACGUACAGUCCCAGUCUUGGUUUAGCGCCGUCCACGUUACGGAUAAGAAUGCUACAUAUGUGAAAUGUCAUCAGAAUGCUGUUUUGUUUGCACUUUCUUCUUUCCAAUAUAUUCACCUGGCAGUAGUCUUCUCUGGCGGAGCUCCUUAUCGUCAACCAUUUUAUAAAAGUGGGUAUUUUCUUUUGGUCGUGGUAUUUCUAACUGUGUUUACGGGAUUUUUAGUUGUUCUUCCAGGAGAAACAUUGCAGCAUUUUUUUUCAGCUAGCAACCAUCCCAGAUAAAAUCUUCAGAUGGACGCUUGUUGGUAUUGCUGCAUGCAAUUGUCUCAUUUCUCUAUUCAUUGAGAUGUACAUUGUUCCGUCUCAAUGCCUAAAGAAAGUGCUGAAUCGGCUUUUUUGCAAAACUCACCCAAAAAACUACUUCCGAAUUUUG
rnacentral:misc_RNA from 1 species